AUGUCUUGCCCUCCAGUCCUCAAUAAUCUUGUGGCCCUCCACUGGACUCAUUUCAGUAUGUCAAUGUCUGUCUUGUACUGGGAAGCCCAAAACUGGCACAGUAUGAUCUUUCAUCCAAGUUUGGUUCAAGAGCAGUGCAGAAAGUUUUUGAUAGCCUUCUCCAAUCAAAAGAAGUCACACUUGUUGGCCUGAUGCAGGUAUAAAUAAAAGAUCCUGGAACAGUGUUGGAUUAUCUGGC
rnacentral:lncRNA from 1 species